rnacentral:tRNA from 1 species
AUCCAUCUAGAAUAGCUCAGUUGGUAGAGCAUGAGACUCUUAAUCUCAGGGUUGUGGGUUCAAGCCCCAUGUUGGGCA